CCUACGGGUGGCAGCAGUAGGGAAUAUUGCUCAAUGGGGGAAACCCUGAAGCAGCAACGCCGCGUGGAGGAUGAAGGUUUUCGGAUUGUAAACUCCUUUUGUUAGAGAAGAAAAUGACGGCAUCUAUCGAAUAAGCACCGGCCAACUCCGAGCCAGCAGCCGCGGUAACAUGGAGGGUGCAAGCGUUACACGGAUUCACUGGGCGUAAAGAGCGCGUAGUAGGGGUAGCAAGUCAGAUGUGAAGUCCUAUGGCUUAACCAUAGAACUGCAUUUGAAACUGGUAGUCUAGAGUAUGGGUGAGGUAGGUGGAAUUCUUGGUGUAGGGGUGAAAUGCGUAGAGAUCAAGAAGAAUACUCAUUGCGAAGGCGACCUGCUAGACCAUAACUGACGCUGAUGCGCGAAAGCGUGGGGAGCAAACAGGAUUAGAUACCCGAGUAGUC
rnacentral:rRNA from 1 species